rnacentral:rRNA from 1 species
GACGGAGGGUGCGAGCGUUGUUCGGAAUCACUGGGCGUAAAGGGCGCGUAGGCGGUCGGGCGUGUCGGGUGUGAAAGCCCGGGGCUCAACCCCGGAACGGCAUCCGGGACUGCCCGGCUGGAGACCGGGAGAGGAGGGUGGAAUACCCAGUGUAGAGGUGAAAUUCGUAGAGAUUGGGGGGAACACCGGUGGCGAAAGCGGCCCUCUGGUCCGGUGCUGACGAUGAGGCGCGAAAGAGUGGGUAGCAAACAGG